UGAGUCUCCUUCCAUAUGAGCUGCGUUAUCGUUUGUAUGGUGAAUGGGAGAAGGAUGAUGAGCAAUUUCCAAUGCUUUUGGCUGCAAGGCAAACAGCAAAGUUGGACACUAGGAGGAUCCUGAAGCGCCUUGCAAAAGAAAAUCUAAAGCAGCUUGGUCGAAUGGUUGCCAAACUUGCUCAUGCCAAUCCAAUGACAGUAUUGCGAACAAUUGUUCACCAGAUUGA
rnacentral:misc_RNA from 1 species